UACGAAGGGGGCUAGCGUUGCUCGGAAUCACUGGGCGUAAAGGGUGCGUAGGCGGGUCUUUAAGUCAGGGGUGAAAUCCUGGAGCUCAACUCCAGAACUGCCUUGAUACUGAAGAUCUUGAGUUCGGGAGAGGUGAGUGGAACUGCGAGUGUAGAGGUGAAAUUCGUAGAUAUUCGCAAGAACACCAGUGGCGAAGGCGGCUCACUGGCCCGAUACGUGACGCUGAGGCA
rnacentral:rRNA from 1 species